rnacentral:lncRNA from 1 species
CUCCAACGGGUCGUACCAGCAAACCAGGGAUCUACGGAUGGUGCCAUCACACUUGUUGCUAGGUUUCAGCGUGCCUGGGGCCGUGCUCACCUUUCGGAGCACUGCCGGCAGCAACUACGCGCGCACGAGCGACGCGAACAACAGCGAACCAGCGCGCACAGCGCGAAGAUAGCACAUUACUCUCUAACCAGGGCACCGUUAACCUAAAUGGAGGUGAGCAUCGUGUUCAGCAUGAGCCCACGAUCAUCGUGCU